rnacentral:sRNA from 20 species
GUCAACCACCCCCGACUGAAUUCGGAGGCUUGCCUUACGGCCAUGCCUGGGUUGACAAGGAAAAGCGGUACCCAACCCGCUGCGUUGCAAGGAGUAGAGGAGACCCUCGUCGGGAUGCUUCCUCAGUCCCGACCUCUAGA